ACAGUGCUCGGCACAUAGUAAGCGCUUAACAAAUACCAACAUUAUUAAUUGUAUCUACGCUCUUUGGUCUGAGGGGUAAAUGUGCAAUUGCAUUUGUGCUCAUGAGCUCUGCAUUCUUUCCAGGUGCAUCCCAUAGUAUCUUUUGUUUCUCUUCUUUUCCUUUCUUUUCUUUUCUUUCCUUUCUUUUAGCAUGUUAAAAUAGCUUGGUGUUUCCCCAAAAUCAUGAGGGCAGUUCAGAGCCGUAGGGCAGGGAGUAGGGUUGCUACGUGAGAUAAGGAUACCAUGGUGACCCGCAGCCUCUGCAUUGCAGUGGGGCUGGGGACCUGAGUGUAAAAACAAACAGGAGCAAAAGGAGAAAUUAGGGAGGAAUGAAGCUCCACUUUUCAGAAUAACUAUAAAUUUGAUGUUUUCCUUUUGGUUUACUAUUCUGAAUGCUGCAGGAAACCUAGAUCCGAAGCUUGCUUGCUGAGUUUUUUCUUUUGGUUUCAUAGUGCUGCCAUCUUCUUACCCUUUGAAGUAUUUUACUUCUCUGCUCUUGUUAUUGUCUGUUAAAUUCAAAGUUCAUUGAAUUUAUCAGGGGAGAAUUUGGGGAGGAUUCCAAAAUUUGUAUCAUUUUUCAGCUCUCCGGUUAUGACGUGAGGACUGUUCAUUAAAUCCAGUUGUUAAAAAUGAAAGCUUAUGUUCCUUAGAUCAGUUUUUUUCUUUUAUUAAUUAAUGAAUGAUGGAGCACUGAAUGAAGCACUUGGGAAAGCCUCGUAGUGUUGGAAGACACUUACCCUACCUCCAUGAGCUUUUGAUCUAAUCAGCAAGGCAGUCUCAAAAUGACUAUCAGACAGGAGAGGAAAAAACGGGAUACGGAGAUGAGUAAGUGGAAAUGGAUAUGGAGAUAAGUAAGUGGUUGAAAAGGGCAUUAUUCUUCAACUACAGGAGAUUCUAUUAUGUGUUUGGGUGCGAAUUUAACCACAGGCUUUUUCUGACAAUACAAGCCUGCCUGCAAGCCACAGUGCAGUCACUUAUGGAAGCUAAAUCUGUACAGUGGUGAAUGGCUCAGCCUUGGCUAUGGUGGGUUCAGCAACCUGAGUUAUAUUAUCAUGCAAUUCUGUAAGAACGCAUUCCUUGUGUUUUAGGAGAACUAGAUCUUAACUUGUCUGCUUACGCAAGGGAUUACUAAAUUAGUGUAUGACAAAUUUUUUUAAAAAAAGAUAAAUUUCUCGAAUUUUACUCUUCCAAAGCAAGAGAAUACAUCACAGUUACUUUGACCUUUGUAUUUUAGAAGCUGAUUUAUGAACAACAAAAAGUUUACCAGCAAUUAAGAUUGAUUCAGAGCCAAAGUCUGAAUACAAUUAAGCAGAUAUGUGAACAAUUUUCAAAGGUUAAUGAAGAAAUGGAAAAGAGAAAUGAAGUCCUUUUAAUAAAAUCACAAAAUGAAAUUUAAAAAGAACUGCUUGCACUGCGAAGCAAGAAUAGAUUGGACAGUAAAGAGUAAAAGAUGGGAAGUUUCCUCAUUUGCCUCCAGUCUGUGUGAUUUUGAAUGCUCUGAGAAGAAAGAACUUGUACCUAAAUAAUAUGAUAUAACUGUAACUAUUAGCUAAGGGAAUUGUAAGUUGUUGCUGUGCUUUAAAAACUUUCAAGUUCCUAAACUUAAAGUUUUAAAUAGGUGGUUAAUUAAACGUUUCAAUCUCCAUCAUAGGGUCCACUGGUGUAAACAAAAGAAUGUCUUAUAUAUAUGCACAUCUGAACUGUGUACUUUCGUUUAAAUAUUACUAACACUGUAAAAAUGACAAAUGUUUUGGUAUUUGUGAAUAUUUUUUCAUCCUGAACAGUGAAAAAGCCUAUUUGGUGCCAAUUAAAUAUUGGUCGAUUUUA